GCCCUGAUGGUCUAGCGGUAUGAUUCUCCCUUAGGGUUGUCGUCACGACACCUCACAUCUGGGAGAGGUCCCAGGUUCGAUCCCUGGUUAGGGCC